GAUGAACGCUAGCGGCAGGCUUAACACAUGCAAGUCGAGGGGUAACAGAGGUAGCUUGCUACUUGCUGUCGACCGGCGCACGGGUGCGUAACGCGUAUAGAACCUACCUUAUACUGGAGGAUAGCCUUUAGAAAUGAAGAUUAAUACUCCAUGGUGAUAUUUAGUCUCCUGACUAUAUAUUUAAAGAUUUAUUGGUAUAAGAUGGCUAUGCGUUCUAUUAGCUAGAUGGUAAGGUAACGGCUUACCAUGGCAACGAUAGAUAGGGGUCCUGAGAGGGAGAUCCCCCACACUGGUACUGAGACACGGACCAG
rnacentral:rRNA from 1 species